rnacentral:lncRNA from 1 species
GUCGUACACGGCCAGGGUAAGCGCGUGCGGCCUCUUGCGGCCGGCGUAGCUCGGCGCACCACCUUCCUUGGUAGGGAUGAUCAUGGAAAGGUUACGCUUGGUCUGGUCAGGGACAGGGGACGACAUGGUGGGCGUUCGAUCGACUGUUCGAUCUCCCGGCGGCAGCGGCAGGCAGGCUAGUUUUCUAGGGCUGCUGUUGCAAUGG